UACGUAGGGGGGCAAGCGUUUGUCCGGAUUUAUUGGGCGUAAAGAGCGUGUAGGCGGCUGGGUAGGUCCGUUGUGAAAACUCGAGGCUCAACCUCGAGACGCCGAUGGAAACCCUCCAGCUAGAGUCCGGAAGAGGAGAGUGGAAUUCCUGGUGUAGCGGUGAAAUGCGCAGAUAUCAGGAAGAACACCCGUGGCUAAGGCGGCUCUCUAGUACGGUACUGACGCUGAGACGCGAAAGCGUGGGGAGCGAACAGG
rnacentral:rRNA from 1 species